rnacentral:rRNA from 1 species
GGCCUUCGGGUUGUAAACUGCUUUUGUACGGAACGAAAAGGCCCUGGUGAACAACCGGGGUUGCUGACGGUACCGUAAGAAUAAGCCACGGCUAACUACGUGCCAGCAGCCGCGGUAAUACGUAGGUGGCAAGCGUUGUCCGGAUUUAUUGGGUUUAAAGGGUGCGUAGGCGGUCCUGUAAGUCAGUGGUGAAAUACGGCAGCUCAACUGUCGAGGUGCCAUUGAUACUGCGAGACUUGAGUGUUGAUGAGGUAGGCGGAAUUGACGGUGUAGCGGUGAAAUGCGUAGAUAUGCGGAGGAACACCGAUGGCGAAGGCAAUCCCCUGGGCCAGUACUGACGCUCAUGCACGAAAGCGUGGGGAGCAAACAGGAUUAGAUACCCUGGUAGUCC